UGGCUGCUCCUGAUUUCUCUCGCCAGGAUGAGAUCUGAACGGAGAUGCUUACGUAGGGGCAAACCGGUUCCACUUGAUGCUCUUCACUAAAAAUGUACAGGCUGCCCAGCUGUGUUUUUCUGAAGAGAGAAGGACAUGUACACAGUCUCCUCUGACCCAGGGCUGAACUGUGGAGGCAGCCAGUGGAGCUUCAUGAAGCUCUGUUACUCAACUAACCUGAGCAUGCAGAAAUGACACAGAAAAUUGUAGUAUUAUGGG